rnacentral:rRNA from 1 species
CCUACGGGUGGCAGCAGUGGGGAAUAUUGGACAAUGGGGGCAACCCUGAUCCAGCCAUGCCGCGUGUGUGAAGAAGGCCCUCGGGUUGUAAAGCACUUUCAGUGAGGAAGAACGCCUGGUGGUUAAUACCCAUCAGGAAAGACAUCACUCACAGAAGAAGCACCGGCUAACUCCGUGCCAGCAGCCGCGGUAAUACGGAGGGUGCGAGCGUUAAUCGGAAUUACUGGGCGUAAAGCGCGCGUAGGUGGCUUGAUAAGCCGGUUGUGAAAGCCCCGGGCUCAACCUGGGAACGGCAUCCGGAACUGUCAAGCUAGAGUGCAGGAGAGGAAGGUAGAAUUCCCGGUGUAGCGGUGAAAUGCGUAGAGAUCGGGAGGAAUACCAGUGGCGAAGGAGGCCUUCUGGACUGACACUGACACUGAGGUGCGAAAGCGUGGGUAGCAAACAGGAUUAGAUACCCCAGUAGUC